AUGGGAACGCGAAGAACCUUACCUAGACUUGACAUCUCCUGAAUAGUGUAGAGAUACAUGAAGCCCUUCGGGGCAGGAAGACAGGUGGUGCAUGGUUGUCGUCAGCUCGUGUCGUGAGAUGUUGGGUUAAGUCCCGCAACGAGCGCAACCCUUAUUACUAGUUGCUACCAUUAAGUUGAGCACUCUAGUGAGACUGCCCGGGUUAACCGGGAGGAAGGCGGGGAUGACGUCAAAUCAUCAUGCCCCUUAUGUCUAGGGCAACACACGUGCUACAAUGGUGAGUACAGAUAGAUGCGAUACCGCAAGGUGGAGCCAAACUCUAAAACUCAUCCCAGUUCGGAUUGUAGGCUGCAACUCGCCUACAUGAAGUUGGAGUUGCUAGUAAUCGCGAAUCAGAAUGUCGCGGUGAAUACGUUCCCGGGUCUUGUACACACCGAGUCGUGGGAGGC
rnacentral:rRNA from 1 species